rnacentral:tRNA from 1 species
GAGUUCGUAGCUCAGUUGGUAGAGCACACGACUUUUAAUCGUGUUGUCGUGGGUUCGAUCCCCACCGAACUCACCA